rnacentral:rRNA from 1 species
UAUGUCUAGCCACAAACAUUGAUAUUAAUACACAACUAAUAUUCGCCUGGGUACUACAAGCAAUGCUUUAAACCCAAAGGACUUGGCGGUACUUCAGACCCCCUUAGAGGAGCCUGUUCUAGAACUGAUAAUCCCCGUUUAACCUCACCACUUCUCGUCAAUCCCGCCUAUAUACCGCCGUCGUCAGCUCACCCUGUGAAGGACUCACAGUGAGCAAAACGGGCACAGCCCAGAACGUCAGGUCGAGGUGUAGCGUAUGAGGUGGCAAGAAAUGGGCUACAUUUCCUAAUCUAGGAAAACACAAACAUUGUUAUGAAAUACAACUAUUGAAGGUGGAUUUAACAAUAAGAAGAGAACAGCACACUCUUCUGAAGCCGGCUCUGAAGUGCGU